UGCAACUUCUGUGGCGAUUUGUUACCGGAUUGCGGGCCACGUUAAAUAUUCCGCUAAAAGGUCGAAGGGCGUAGCCC
rnacentral:ncRNA from 2 species